CCAGCUGAUCUAAGAAAAAAAUUAUAAAAUGUUAUUUCGUACUCUUUUGUGCGAGCAGUAUACAGCAAGAAUAUUUUGGAAUUGACCAUGUAUAGGCCGAUUUUAUGACAGCCAUUUUAGGCCUAAGUCAAGCCCCCAAUACCGGAGUCUCGAGUUUGCUACCGUACGGCCCUUUCGUUGCCUACUUAUGCUACCUGGUACAGCUGAGAUUUUGAAGGUUGAAAUUGCUAUACCUGACAUUAUGGAAACUACAAUGCAAGUAGCUUUUGUAGUGGAAAGAAAUUAUCAGAGAAGAAAUAAAGCUUGAGAAAUGAUUAGACCCUCGAGACACUAGAUACAACAUAUACAACAUAGCCCAACCUCGAUGGCUGGAUGGAGAAGUCCGAGAUCCAGACUACCAACACCCGAGGACUCGAGAAGUGAUAGGCUCAACUGUAUGUGUGUAAAUAAGUACAUACAUGUGCGGAAUUGUGCUUAUAUAAGUCCAAAUAUCCAACUUACUGUGUCUUUCUAUGGAUAUUGUCUUCUCAUUCCAAAAAUCUACUGUACACUUAGGUCAUAUAUGUUGCGCUCUAACCCUGUAUCAUUUUCUUUCUUCGAAUUUCUUUCCUUUAAUGGUUGAAAUUGCUUUACCUGACAUUAUGGAAACUACAAUGCAAGUAGCUUUUGUAGUGGAAAGAAAUUAUCGGAGAAGAAAUGAAGCUUGAGAAAUGAUUAGACCCUCGAGACACUAGAUACAACAUUGA